rnacentral:lncRNA from 10 species
CAGAUCUUCUCGGCUUAGCGGCUGAAGACUGACGCUGCCCGAUCGCCUCAGAAGCCCCCUAGACCAUCACCGACGCUGAGCUUCGGGUAACUCUCACAGUGGAAGAUGAAGAAACUGGGGCUCUGAAUGGCAUAUUAACGCGUGCAGCUCCAGACAGCGAGGAAGUGAUGGCAACUCUAUCCGAACUCAAAUCUGCCAGACCUAUACCAGUAGGUGCCUGUGUGCAGUUGGGGACUCACCUCUGCCAGUGCUGGCAUGAGCUAGCUGUCUUGAACUGAAAACAGACACUCAAAGAUGGGCUGUGGGAUCCCAGAGAGGUGGCAGAAUGGUCAAAGCUAUGAAGCCAACAGCUGCUGCCAACAAGAAAGUCCUGAGCCCUGAGUGAUUGUAAUUUAAACUUAAUGCUGGGAGUGGGUGUUUAUUUUGGAGGAGUGGGCUGCUUAUUUUUGGUUUGGGGACUUGUUCAUUCAUCUUUUCUCAGCGGCGCCUACUGCUGCCCUGGCCCGAAGUUAAAGCUCAAUAAAUCACUGUUGCACAACUGA